rnacentral:rRNA from 1 species
GGGGAAUUUUGGACAAUAGGCGCAAGCCUGAUCCAGCCAUGCCGCGUGUCUGAAGAAGGCCUUCGGGUUGUAAAGGACUUUUGUCAGGGAAGAAAAGGCUGUUGCUAAUACCGACAGCUGAUGACGGUACCUGAAGAAUAAGCACCGGCUAACUACGUGCCAGCAGCCGCGGUAAUACGUAGGGUGCGAGCGUUAAUCGGAAUUACUGGGCGUAAAGCGAGCGCAGACGGUUACUUAAGCAGGAUGUGAAAUCCCCGGGCUCAACCUGGGAACUGCGUUCUGAACUGGGUGACUAGAGUGUGUCAGAGGGAGGUAGAAUUCCACGUGUAGCAGUGAAAUGCGUAGAGAUGUGGAGGAAUACCGAUGGCGAAGGCAGCCUCCUGGGAUAACACUGACGUUCAUGCUCGAAAGCGUGGGUAGCAAACAGGAUUAGAUACCCUGGUAGUCCACGCCCUAAACGAUGUCAAUUAGCUGUUGGGCAACUUGAUUGCUUAGUAGCGUAGCUAACGCGUGAAAUUGACCGCCUGGGGAGUACGGUCGCAAGAUUA